rnacentral:lncRNA from 1 species
UCCCAAAGUGGCGUUUAGGUUGGUAGAUCGAUCCAUUCUCUUAUUCAUCUUUUCCUUUGCUUUAGAGAGAGAAAAUCUCAUUCCUCACUAGUGUUUCGCAUUUUUGAGUGAUUUAAGUGUGUAAUUGUUGAAAUCUUCAAGUGAUAUUUCAUAUCGAGUAUAUGUUUUGUAUUUUUGAGUGAUUGUUGAACAGAAUCUGAGUGAUUCUGUUGAUCUGUAGAGGUUAAGACAGAACUGAGUGUUCUAGUAUGGUUCUUGGUGAUAGGCAGUUGAUCGAUCUGGGUUCAUUUGUAAAGAUAAGUCUCUAUGGCUUUGUCUUGUUGUGUCUAAAUUGUUUGUAAUUUUGGCUGUCAUAUUUUUGGCUUAUAGUACAACUGAGCUUUGUUCAUUUAUAAUGGAUGCUCAAUAGGGGAUUAGGCGUUAGAAGUAUUCGCUAAACCUCGGGGGGCUUUGGCCAAAAAAUCCUUCGUGUUAAUUUUUAGUUUCUGCAAUCUUCUUGUGUGAUGUGUUGUUGGUUUAUUUGAUUCUUGACUAAUCUUGG